rnacentral:rRNA from 1 species
GACGAACACUGGCGGCGUGCUUAACACAUGCAAGUCGAACGAUGAAGCCCAGCUUGCUGGGUGGAUUAGUGGCGAACGGGUGAGUAACACGUGAGUAACCUGCCCUUGACUCUGGGAUAAGCGCUGGAAACGGCGUCUAAUACCGGAUACGACCUGGCCNNCCGGCAUCGGGUGCGGGUGGAAAGUUUUUCGGUCAAGGAUGGACUCGCGGCCUAUCAGCUUGUUGGUGAGGUAAUGGCUCACCAAGGCGACGACGGGUAGCCGGCCUGAGAGGGUGACCGGCCACACUGGGACUGAGACACGGCCCAGACUCCUACGGGAGGCAGCAGUGGGGAAUAUUGCACAAUGGGCGAAAGCCUGAUGCAGCAACGCCGCGUGGGGGAUGACGGCCUUCGGGUUGUAAACCUCUUUUAGUAAGGAAGAAGGGCUUCGGCUUGACGGUACCUGCAGAAAAAGCACCGGCUAACUACGUGCCAGCAGCCGCGGUAAUACGUAAGGUGCAAGCGUUGUCCGGAAUUAUUGGGCGUAAAGAGCUCGUAAGCGGUUUGUCGCGUCUGCUGUGAAAACCCGAGGCUCAACCUCGGGCCUGCAGUGGGUACGGGCAGACUAGAGUGCGGUAGGGGAGAAUGGAAUUCCUGGUGUAGCGGUGGAAUGCGCAGAUAUCAGGAGGAACACCGAUGGCGAAGGCAGUUCUCUGGGCCGUUACUGACGCUGAGGAGCGAAAGCGUGGGGAGCGAACAGGAUUAGAUACCCUGGUAGUCCACGCCGUAAACGUUGGGAACUAGAUGUGGGGACCUUUCCACGGUCUCCGUGUCGCAGCUAACGCAUUAAGUUCCCCGCCUGGGGAGUACGGCCGCAAGGCUAAAACUCAAAGGAAUUGACGGGGGCCCGCACAAGCGGCGGAGCAUGCGGAUUAAUUCGAUGCAACGCGAAGAACCUUACCAAGGCUUGACAUAUACCGGAAACUUCCAGAAAUGGUUGCCCCGCAAGGUCGGUAUACAGGUGGUGCAUGGUUGUCGUCAGCUCGUGUCGUGAGAUGUUGGGUUAAGUCCCGCAACGAGCGCAACCCUCGUUCUAUGUUGCCAGCACGUCAUGGUGGGAACUCAUAGGAGACUGCCGGGGUCAACUCGGAGGAAGGUGGGGAUGACGUCAAAUCAUCAUGCCCCUUAUGUCUUGGGCUUCACGCAUGCUACAAUGGCCGGUACAAAGGGCUGCGAUACCGUAAGGUGGAGCGAAUCCCAAAAAGCCGGUCUCAGUUCGGAUUGAGGUCUGCAACUCGACCUCAUGAAGUCGGAGUCGCUAGUAAUCGCAGAUCAGCAACGCUGCGGUGAAUACGUUCCCGGGCCU